GACAAACGCUGGCGGCGUGCCUAAUACAUGCAAGUCGAGCGGAAUGAAGAAGAAGCUUGCUUCUUCUGAUUUUAGCGGCGGACGGGUGAGUAACACGUGGGCAACCUACCUUGUAGAUUGGGAUAACUCCGGGAAACCGGGGCUAAUACCGAAUAAUCCAUUUUGCUUCAUGGCGAGAUGUUAAAAGGCGGCUUCGGCUGUCACUACAAGAUGGGCCCGCGGCGCAUUAGCUAGUUGGUAGGGUAAUGGCCUACCAAGGCGACGAUGCGUAGCCGACCUGAGAGGGUGAUCGGCCACACUGGGACUGAGACACGGCCCAGACUCCUACGGGAGGUAGCAGUAGGGAAUCUUCCACAAUGGACGAAAGUCUGAUGGAGCAACGCCGCGUGAGUGAAGAAGGUUUUCGGAUCGUAAAACUCUGUUGUAAGGGAAGAACACGUACGAGAGUAACUGCUCGUACCUUGACGGUACCUUAUUAGAAAGCCACGGCUAACUACGUG
rnacentral:rRNA from 1 species